rnacentral:tRNA from 1 species
GCGGCUGUAGUCCAGUCUGGUCUAGGACAUUGGCCUCCCAAGCCAGUAACCCGGGUUCGAAUCCCGGCAGCCGCA